rnacentral:rRNA from 1 species
AAUGAACGCUGGCGGCGUGGAUAAGACAUGCAAGUCGAACGGAAAACACAAUAGCUUGCUAAUGUGUUUUUAGUGGCGGACGGGUUAGUAACACGUGAGCAACCUGCCUCGAAGCGGGGGAUAGCCUUCCGAAAGGGAGAUUAAUACCGCAUGUGACCUACGGGUUAAAGAUGCCUUCGGGUGUCACUUCGAGAUGGGCUCGCGGCCUAUCAGCUAGAUGGUGAGGUAACGGCUCACCAUGGCAACGACGGGUAGCUGGUCUGAGAGGAUGAUCAGCAACACUGGAACUGAGACACGGUCCAGACACCUACGGGUGGCAGCAGUCGAGAAUCAUUCACAAUGGGGGAAACCCUGAUGGUGCAACGCCGCGUGGAGGAUGAAGGCCCUAGGGUCGUAAACUCCUGUCAUAUAAGAGUAAGGCAUAGUUGGUUAAUACCCAGUUAUGUUUGACAGUAUUAUAAGAGGAAGGGACGGCUAACUUCGUGCCAGCAGCCGCGGUAAUACGAAGGUCCCGAGCGUUAUUCGGAAUCACUGGGCGUAAAGAGUACGUAGGCGGUUUGGUAAGUCAGGUGUGAAAUCCCGGAGCUCAACUCCGGAACU